UGGCUCAGAACGAACGCUGGCGGCAGGCUUAACACAUGCAAGUCGAGCGGCCGUAGCAAUACGGCAGCGGCAGACGGGAGAGUAACACGUGGGAACGCGCCCUUCGGUCCGGGAUAACCCAGGGAAACUUGGGCUAAUACCGGAUACGCCCUUACGGGGAAAGAUUUAUUGCCGAAGGAACGGCCCGCGUCCGAUUAGCUAGUUGGUGAGGUAAUGGCUCACCAAGGCGACGAUCAGUAGCUGGUCUGAGAGGAUGACCAGCCUCACUGGGACUUACUCCCGGCCCA
rnacentral:rRNA from 1 species